AUUGAACGCUGGCGGCAUGCCUUACACAUGCAAGUCGAACGGCAGCAUGAUCUAGCUUGCUAGAUUGAUGGCGAGUGGCGAACGGGUGAGUAAUACAUCGGAACGUGCCCUGUAGUGGGGGAUAACUAGUCGAAAGAUUAGCUAAUACCGCAUACGACCUGAGGGUGAAAGUGGGGGACCGCAAGGCCUCAUGCUAUAGGAGCGGCCGAUGUCUGAUUAGCUAGUUGGUGAGGUAAAGGCUCACCAAGGCGACGAUCAGUAGCUGGUCUGAGAGGACGAUCAGCCAACCUUGGACCUAGACACCGCCCAGACCCCUACGGGAGGCAGCAGUGGGGAAUUUUGGACAAUGGGCGAAAGCCUGAUCCAGCAAUGCCGCGUGUGUGAAGAAGGCCUUCGGGUUGUAAAGCACCUUUGUCCGGAAAGAAAUGGCUCUGGUUAAUACCUGGGGUCGAUGACGGUACCGGAAGAAUAAGGACCGGCUAACUACGUG
rnacentral:rRNA from 1 species